GACGAACGCUGGCGGCGUGCUUAACACAUGCAAGUCGAACGGAAAGGCCCUGCUUUUGUGGGGUGCUCGAGUGGCGAACGGGUGAGUAACACGUGAGUAACCUGCCCUUGACUUUGGGAUAACUUCAGGAAACUGGGGCUAAUACCGGAUAGGAGCUCCUGCUGCAUGGUGGGGGUUGGAAAGUUUCGGCGGUUGGGGAUGGACUCGCGGCUUAUCAGCUUGUUGGUGGGGUAGUGGCUUACCAAGGCUUUGACGGGUAGCCGGCCUGAGAGGGUGACCGGCCACAUUGGGACUGAGAUACGGCCCAGACUCCUACGGGAGGCAGCAGUGGGGAAUAUGGCACAAUGGGCGGAAGCCUGAUGCAGCAACGCCGCGUGCGGGAUGACGGCCUUCGGGUGGUAAACCGCUUUCGCCUGUGACGAAGCGUGAGGGACGGUAAUGGGUAAAGAAACACCGGCUAACUACGU
rnacentral:rRNA from 1 species